GACGAACGCUGGCGGCGUGCCUAAUCCAUGCAAGUAGGACGCAGUUGCGAACGGGUGAGUAACGCGUAGGUAACUACCUAUUAGAGGGGGAUAACUAUUGGAAACGAUAGCUAAUACCGCAUACUAGUAGAUGGACCUGCGUUGUAUUAGCUAGUAGGUAGGGGAAUGGCCUACCUAGGCAACUAUCCAUAGACGACCUGAGAGGGUGAACGGCCAAAAUGGGACUUAGGAACGGCCCAGACUCCUGCGGGAGGCAGCAGUAGGGAAACUUCGGCAAUGGGGGGAACCCUUACCGAGCAACGCCGCGUGAGUGAAGAAGGGUUUCGGAUCGUAAAGCUCUGUUGUUAAGGAAGCGGUACUUAACCAGAAAGGGACGGCUAACUACGUGCCAGCAGCCGCGGUAAUUC
rnacentral:rRNA from 1 species